rnacentral:rRNA from 1 species
UGUAGGUGAACCUGCGGAGGGAUCAUUACCGAGUUUACAACUCCCAAACCCCUGUGAACAUACCUUAAUGUUGCCUCGGCGGAUCAGCCCGCGCCCCGUAAAACGGGACGGCCCGCCAGAGGACCCAAACUCUAAUGUUUCUUAUUGUAACUUCUGAGUAAAACAAACAAAUAAAUCAAAACUUUCAACAACGGAUCUCUUGGUUCUGGCAUCGAUGAAGAACGCAGCAAAAUGCGAUAAGUAAUGUGAAUUGCAGAAUUCAGUGAAUCAUCGAAUCUUUGAACGCACAUUGCGCCCGCUGGUAUUCCGGCGGGCAUGCCUGUUCGAGCGUCAUUUCAACCCUCAAGCCCCCGGGUUUGGUGUUGGGGAUCGGCUCUGCCCUUCUGGGCGGCGCCGCCCCCGAAAUACAUUGGCGGUCUCGCUGCAGCCUCCAUUGCGUAGUAGCUAACACCUCGCAACUGGAACGCGGCGCGGCCAUGCCGUAAAACCCCAACUUCUGAAUGUUGACCUCGGAUCAGGUAGGAAUACCCGCUGAACUUAAGCAUAUCAAUAAGCGGAGGAA